CCUUGUAUAAACCUCUAUGGUAACAAGUUGAAGAGGCCACCAGAUCUUUCCUUAGGACCUCUGCCACCUCCUCAGCCCAGUUUAAGGGAAUCCCCAGGCCAUGUAGCUGAAGCAGUGUGGGAAGGGUGGAGGAGGCAAUUGGCAGGCAUAGAGAUUUCUGGAACUAGUCAGCUCUGAGCUACAUACUGUUAAAGCCAUCUGCUUAAACAAGGAAUUCACAGGAAAGUCAAGUGCCUCCAAGUUAACCAGGAGAGGCUACACAGUAUGAUGGAAAGAACACAGGGUGUGGAAGGCAGAAAAGAUCAGGAUGAGAAAACUGAGAAUCAGAAAGACUAAGUGACUAACCCGAGGUCAUGUAGGUAGCAAGAGAGUUGUUGAUUCCUGCCAUCCUUUGGAACAUGCCCCAGGCUAACGACUGGACCCACCUUGUCUUCUGAGGAAAGGAAGAAUCAAAAAAGCUGGCACUGAGCCAAGAUAACUGGAAACAUCUGGCAACUCUCCUGUGAAACUGAAGCAAAGAAAAGCAACAUUCUCCACAACAGCAGUUACCCAUGUUUGCAGAAAUAUAGACUACAUGCUUCAGGAGGACAACCCUACAAGUACUUCUUCCUUUUUGUAUUUUUGCGAGACCCUGACUUUCAAGCUUGUUUAGAAUCUUUCUCCUACCCUUACAGUAGGUGAUACACUGAAAGCCUCCAAAUUAAGCACAUUCCUACACCCAGUUAUAGAUAUAUGCAAAGUGCCAAGCUUAUAGUCACAACCCCUAAGGAAACCACCUAAUUGUGCCUCAGUGACACCAUCAGAGAAAAAAUGCAAUUUUUACCCAAGCAGAAAGAGCCAUUGUUCAGUUGUUUAAGUCAUAGCCAACUCUUCAAGACCCUGUUCAGGAUUUUCUUUGGCAAUGGAACUGAAGUAAACCUGGAGAAGUGACUUUCCCAGUGACAUAACUAGUAAGUAUUUGAGGCCAGAACUCAGGAAAAUGAGUCUUCCCGACUCAAAGUCUGGCACUUCAUCCACUGUGUCAUCUAGCAACAACCAAAGGAUUGUCUGAAGGUACAUUAUAGAUUAUCUAGUCAAAUUCCUUCAUUUUAGAGAAGGAACUUAUCUAUGAUGCAAGAAUGAUGACCUCAGUUAGCAGUCUAGAAAUGUGGGGCUUCCACAGUGCAGAAGGCAGAGUACUUGGUUCAUUCAGUCAGCAUGGGCAGGACACAAAUCCUCUUAGGAAACUGAACAGUGGCUUAGACCCCCAAAUUCAGCUCUGAUUUUCUAGCAACCCUCAUUAGAAAACUGAACCAAUUCAAAGAGAAGAGAGCAAAAUUUUCUAUGGUCAUAGCUGAAUGUGUUCCUGGAAGACACCACCUAGGUGGCAUCCAAACCAUCACAGUUACACUGGACUGACAGUCAUUUUUGGUCCAAGUUUGGCUGACCUAAGGAUCAUUCUUUUGACCAUGCAGAUCUUACUCAAGGCAGUAUGAAUGAAACAAGUAUUUCUUAAGCACAUCCAUCUUACAAGACACUAUGCUAGGUGCUCUUUGUGUAGUACAAUGGAAAAAAUGUUGCCUUUGGAGUCAAAGGUCCUAGGUUUAAAACUUAGCUUUGCCAUUUCUCCCUUAGAAUCUGAAGGAAGUUUUUACCUCUCCAAACCACAAUUUCCUCAUAUAGAAAAUGAAUAGGUGGGACUGUCUUCACAGAGCUUACAUUCUCCUGGAGGGAAUACAGUAUGCAUACAGUUAAGUAAAUUCAAAGAAACUCUAGGAGGGAAAGAGGACUAAAAACUGGAAUGAGCUGAAAAAAUCUCCUAUAAAAGGUGGCCCCUGAACUAAUCCUUGAGGACAAAGAGAUUGGGGGGUGAGAGGGUUGGCAUUGUACAGUCCAGGCCCAAGGAGUUAUGGUGAGGGGGGGGCAAUACAGAGGCAAUAGGGAUGUCAAAUCCAGGAGAAUGUCAAGUAGACCACUUUAGUUAGAAUAUAAAGCAUAUACAGGGAUAUUAUAUGACAGAUAUUUAGAAAAGGCUGGUGGGAGCCAAAUUGUGAAAGGCUUUAAAUGCUAGGCUGAGUUUAUAUUUAUUAUCUUUAGGCAAUAAUGAGUCAUUUUAGAUUUUUGAGUGAGGGGAAUGAUCAGGCCACUACAAUUCCUAUCUGACCAAGUACUCUGCUACUUAAUUACUGUCAUGUGAGCCCAGAAAAAUGGUAAAACCUCUCUGGGUUGGCCUUACUCUAAUCAGGUUUCAGGACUUUCAAUCUCACACUCCUGCAUUAGUCUCUGAAUAUAAGCCCUAGAAUUUCAUGGAAUAUUGGACAUUAUAGGAUUCUGAUUUUUCAAAAUGCUGUCCUGGUUACUAUUUAGCUGAGAGACAAGCUAAGCCAAAGAAAACAUCUUUUCUAGGAAACAUAUGACCUAAGUUUUAGCUCCCAUUUCACCACUAAAUAGCUGUAGGCCCUUGUGUAAGUCACUUCACAUCAAUCACCUUGCCCCCUCCUGCUUUUCCCUUCUUUUUUAGACUUUGCUGCCAUCCUAGUCUCCUGGGUAUUCCCCAGACACAACACUCCAUCUGCCACCUCCAAGCAUUUGAAUUGUUGUCCUUUUGCCUGGAAUCCUGUCCCUUCUCACUUCUGCCUCUUGACUUAUCUGGUUUCCUUCAAGACUCAACUCAAAUCCAAUGUCCUACAGGAGGUCCAGUAUCCACUGUUGCUGUCUUCCCCUCUAAGAAUACUUUCCAUCUCCUGUUGUAGGAACUUGUGCACAUGUCAUCUCCUCCAUACAAAGGGGAGCUCCUUGGAGGCUAGGGGUAUUUUUUGCCUUUCUGCUGGUUGGUUGCCUGACCUUAGUGGGCCUUGAGUAGUUCACCUAUAAAAUGGCAAUAAUAACAAUUGCAAAUAAGGAAAAAGACUUGUACAAGAAUAUUCAUAGCUGCACUCUUUGUGGUGGCAAAAAAUUGGAAAAUGAGGGGAUACCCUUCAAUUGGGGAAUGGUUGAACAAAUGGUGGUAUAUGUUGGUGAUGGAAUACUAUUGUGCUCAAAGGAAUAAUAAAGUGGAGGAAUUCUAUGGGAACUGGAACAACCUCCAGGAAGUGAUGCAGAGUGAGAGGAGCAGAACCAGAAGAGCAUUGUACACAGAGAGGAAUACACUAUGGCACAAUCGAAGGUAAUGGACUUCUCUACUAGUAGCAAUGCAAUGAUCCAGGACAAUUCUGAGGGGCUUAUGAGAAAGAACACUAUCCACAUUCAGAAGAAGAACCAUGGAAGCAUAAACCCAGGAGAAAAACAACUGCUUGAUUACAUGGGUUGAUGGGGAUAUGAUUGGGGAUGUAGACUCUAGAGGAUCACCCAGUACAAAUAUCAAUAAUAUGGAAAUAGGUCUUGAUCAAGGACACAUGUAAAACCCAGUGGGAUUGGAUGUUGGCUAUGGGAGGGGGUUGGGGGGAGGGGAGGGAAAGAACAUGAAUCUUGUAACCAAUGAAAAAUAUUCUAAAUUAAUUAAUUUAAAAAAUUUAAAAAACAAUUGCAAUUCAAUAAACAUUUAUCUAUUGCCUACUA